GUGCGGAGCCGUCCCUGCUGGUCCCGGCUCCUCCCCGCCGGGCUCUGGAGCUGGCGACGGGGGCCUUUGAGGGCUGCAGCAGUGGCUGGUGCUUACAGCGAAUUAGCUGCCUCUCUGCCAACGAGCCCCUUUGAGGAGUCACUUCACUUCCCCAAAACGUACUAGGCCCUACGGGGGCAGGAGGGGUUUGUUCCCAAAAGACGCUCCUUGGCAGACGCUGGGGUUGGCAUGAUUGCGUUUGAUCUCGAAUCAGCCCAAUUUACCCUCCUAGGAGGACGUGGUUUGUGCCUACGUGGAGCUCUCAGAGAUAUAACACCGCCCCAGGAAAUGAAAGGUGAAGGCGCGGAUGUGAAGGAUCAAAGAGGGAAUGAAAGUGCCUAUAUUCAACCAUACUCCAGACUGUUUGCUGUUGAUAUCUUGAAUCACUGAGGCAGAAGAAAUAAUUGAUUCUAGUCAUUCCUCUUGACUCAAGAAGCUUUCAACUUGCACAGUAAAAGAGAGAACCCCCAACCAGUUCUUCAUUUUUGUGUUGUGUGAUGAUGAAAACCGUAUAUAAUAUUAUCUGAUUUUAUAUAUUUUAAUGGAAAACUAUAGAAUUUAAGUGGUUUUGGACUCAAAAAGGAUGGGUAGAAAGGAUGCCUCUGCCACAAGAACUCCUGUUGAGCAAUACAGGAAACAAAUAGGUGCUCCCGACACCCGAACAAGAUGUGCCCGCUCGAGACCGCUGCCUGGGAGGGCCGCGUGAAUCAAUUAUUCUGUGGGGAAAGAGUAAAAUCUGCGGGGGACAUUAAAUUCUGCGCUUAUGCAGUGGUGCAGAAUUCCCACAGGAGUAAACACUGAACUGUUGGAAAUUACUGGUUAAGUACCUGAGAGCAGAGUUUGUUGAAGUGCUAAACCAGCUUUUGAUAGCAGUAACCUGUUUAGCAGGUGCAAUGUAUGUGUUUUCUUCAUUUCAGCUAGUGCAGUUCAAUGACCAGUUAAUUCAAAAUUAAGAAACCACUUGGGAGUUGAAAAAGCAGGGAAGCUUGUUUUACUUUUCCAAUCUAUGAAUAAAAACUAGGUGUGAAAGAAUGAGUUCUUGUAGUUCUAAAAUCUGGAAGGACAAGGUGACCAUAAACAAUUAGUUCAACUACAGAUAAUACUUUCUAUGUUUAUUAGACAGGUUUGCAUUAAAAAUUGAUUUAUUAAACUUUUUUUCUUAUGGAUCCAGCACAGUUAAGGCUUAGGAAAAUAAUGAAAAAGCAAAAACUCAAAACACAAUUAAAGUAGAUUUAAAUCAAGGUUUCCGGCUUCUUGAUUUAAAUCAUGAUUAAAAUCUGCUAUUUAAAUUGCAUUGAUUUAAAUCAGUCCACCCUGAGCAUUAUGAAGUGAGGUUUGUGCAUUCAUUUCCCAGCGGAGAGGUGUUGAAAAACACCAUUACUUGUUGGCAGUUGAAUCAGAGAAGCCAGAUUAUAAACUGGCAUGUGCAGCCAAACUGUCUCACCAGGGGGCAUGGGACUUUCAAUCAGGGUUUUGGCAUGUUGGUGAGACAAUGAGGCAGAUUCACUGAAGCUGAAGAAGCGAUGUGUAAGUUAAUCCCCUCAUAGUCAGAUUCCUUCAGAAUUUUGCACACAUACACUACCUAUGUCUAAGGGAGUUGGUGUGAUUUAUACAUGGAGGAGCUGGAAGAUUAUGUAAAUUAAAGUAUUGUGGGGGCUAAUUUGAUUUACACAUUCUUCUAGCUUCUCAGCAGGUAAAUUAUGCUUAUAUAGACUCCCUUGAGCAUUGGUAGACCACAUGUUAGUAGCUCUACAGGUGUCUGUUAGUGUGGAGGAAUUCUAAUUUAGGCAAUACCUCUGAAUUUGUAAAUAUGAGUCAAAGAGAAUCUAAGUAACCCUAAAAGAAGUUCAAAUUUGGCAUAACAGACAUAUUGAAGGAAGAAUGUGUAAGCAACACCAAGGUAGAUUCCCACUUUUUCAUACUCACUGAGGGUAUGUCUGCAUCGGGAUAAAAAACCCGCAACUGUCCUAGGUCACAUGACUCGGGCUCAUGGGGCUCUGUGUAGACUUUUGGGCUUGUGCUGGAGCGCAUUUUUAUCCCCAUAGCCUGAGCCCCACAAGCACAAGUCAGCUGAUCUGGGCCAGCUGUGGCUGCAUCUCUGGUCUUUUAUCCCUGCGUAGAUAUACCCUGAGACUCACCUGUGCUUUGGGCAUGAGUACUUGUAGAUAAGGUCAGCUCUUUUUGUGGGGUGAAAGUAAAAACAGCAAGUAUGAUCAUUUAAAUCAGCACUUUUCAGAAGUAUUUUAUGCUAUCCCCGAGCAAUAGUAUUUUGUUCCAUAUAUCUAACACACACUACCAGACCAGAAUGGGGUUCUUUUAGCCCACAGCCUUUUUCAUCAUGUGCAGGCAUGGUGCCAAAGCUGUGUGGAGUACCUCCUCAUUGAGAAGAAGAGUGUAACAGAUGAGCAAGAUAAUAUCAGAAGAAAUCCUUUUCUAAAAAGAAUGAACUACUAUAAUUUUUGCCCUCCCUGGAGUUGAUAGAAACACUUAAUGCUGGAAUGAAUGCCACAGGGGGGAAAAGCUAGCAAGGUUGAAUAAAUUUCAAAUUUAAUAGAACUGGAGGUACAACCCUUAACAUACUUUAUCAGCAAACCAAGCUAUUAUUAAAAACAGUAACAUAUGGGAAUGGUGAGUAGAGUUACUAGAAAAUCAGACUUUUGUCUGCAAUGUAUGAGUUCAAGUUAUCUUGGAAGGCAGGAUGGGAAACUACAGACCCCAUAGCGUAUACUUUAUGGAAAGGUACUGCCGAAAUGGCUUAAUGGGAAUAGCAAAUAUAACCUGCUGAGUGGAUAGAGAAAAGCUAUUGAAUUCCUAUGAGGAAUCAGGAUGAAAGGAACAACUUGGAAGGUACUAUUUUAGUACUCUACAUGGAGAGAGACUGAUCUUGGCUGUAGCAAAAAAUAAUAAAGGAGAAAAGACAUUUAUCUUCCCUGGCCUUAACUCUGCCACUGGGGCGGGGGAAGAAUGGAGAGAAAUUAAGGAGAAUUUCAUGGCAUACCAUAUUAAGCACCUCUGCUUUUCCUAGGUAAGCUCAGGUAAUUUUCAGUAAGAGUGGGUAUGCUUCAUAGGACUAAGAGAACUUGAGCUGACUACUGGAAAGAAUUUUAUCUGAGAGGCCUGAUUUUGCUCUCAUGCUAGUUUGAUGCUAGUGUAAUUCCAUUGAUUUCAGUGGUGUUUCUACAGAUGUGCACUAGUGUAAUUGAAAGAAUCAGGCCUUACACAUAAGGAUUAAGAGUGAGGAUGAAUUACGUUCAGAUACUUAAAAGCCUAAUUAUGUUGUUUCAGGUUUUGUUGAUUGUUUUUCAUGCCAUGUUAGUAAUAGAAAGCUGUGUUCACUGAUGUCUUUUUUGUACUGGAGUUGGAGAAUUAAUUUCAGAAAUGCAACCAGUACUAAUACAGAAUUGUAACAGUAUAAAGUGACUGCAAAUGGACAGGACACAAAUAGAUCUAAAUAUUGUGGGUCAAGUCCUGAGGCCAUUUCUGUGGGCGCAAACGGCCCUAAAAUAGAAGAUACAAUGCACUUCCAUUAUUUGGGAGGACAAAGCAGCAGUGUACUGGCACAAGAGAUAUCUGCACCUCCUUUUAUGCCAUUGAUGUCACAUCAGUGACGAGUCUUCACACAGGAAUGCAGAAGUGAUGGGAGUCAAUACCUUACCCACAAAACCAAGGUAUGGCAUAUGGUUCCACUCCGAGGACUGAUCCAUGAGGAGAAAAUUCUAUCGAGGGGAGCAGCUUUUGGAGAGACUUAUAUCAAUAAAAUAUAUUUAGAAGGCUUUCAA